rnacentral:rRNA from 1 species
CACGUAGGAGGCGAGCGUUGUCCGGAAUCAUUGGGCGUAAAGAGCGCGCAGGCGGCUUGGCAAGUCGGGUGUGAAAUCCCGGGGCUCAACCCCGUGACUGCAUCCGAUACUGUCAGGCUAGGAGGUAGGUAGGGGAGAUCGGAAUUCCUGGUGUAGCGGUGAAAUGCGCAGAUAUCGGGAGGAACACCAAUGGCGAAGGCAGCUCGCUGGGACGGUACUGACGCUGAGACGCGAAAGCG